GAGUUCAGCCAGUGAAAGUGAGCGUUGUUGGGCUCUGACCAGUUACAUUUUGUCCCAGUGGUGUAGCCGUAGCUCUGCACAUGCUCACAUCGUGUCUUCACACCCAGAAUCCUCCUCACAUUUACCCACAAUGCAUCUGUGUGGAGUCUCUGCACAUGCUCACAUCGUGUCUUCACAGUCGGUCCGUCACCAGAUGGCAUGAUAUAUAGUUUUGUUGU